GGGUCAUAAUGAGGAAGGACGAGUUAUGGAGACAUAGAGUUAUAGUCAGUUGAAACUGUAAAAAAAAAAAUAGUCUAUUUGUUACCAAAAAGUGUGAAGUAAUAAAAAGACAUACACAAUAUAUAGAGAGACUAAGCAAGUAGUAAAAGGAGAAGAAAAUAUCUGCUUGGAGAGCAACUGGACAAUGUGAAUGUUGGAGUCCUCUAGUGCAUAUACUUGAAUGCCAGCUACUACGGUUCCCACUGCUAUCCUGGAGCCACUGCCAGUUCACAUGAUACUCAACAAUGACUAAAGCAGGAAAUUCUGGAAGACUCAGGGAGCCACUGCCAUCUGACAGAGUCUUCCCAACUGCACUACAUACAAGUCAGCAAGAAGAAGCCAGGAUUAUCUGAGCUUCCUUUUAAGAUUAUUUCAGGCAUGAGAAACCAACAUAGUCGACACAACUAACUCCAGAAGACUACAUGCUCCUAUAAACAGAUGUGUAAUGACAGCACACUCAACAUGGAUAAAUACACUUCAGAAUUGGUUUGUAAGGUCCACCAUCUGUCUGGUUUGUCCACUCUGAACUUAUGAAUCUUGAUUACAAUUGUCAUUUGGGGUCCACCCAGUUUACACAUCUAUCUCAAACGAUACCUGAAGGAGCUCUUUAGUCUUCUAGUUCCCUAGUUGUGCAUGACUAAAGCUAUAGUGUUUACUAAACUCUUCUUGAAGCUGAAUGUCUAAGACUAUGCAGUGGUUUCUUUUUAAUGUUAAACACUAUGAAAAUCCAAGAUUGAUGGCAACAUUGUGUGAUAAUAGUAGAAGAGAUGUGCAAAAGAUAGACGUAAAGGAAGAAGACAAUAUGGUAAUCCACUGAAAUUCUAUUGCUUGUAUAUUCAUAGCACUUCUUUCCUCCCCAUGGAAGUGGGAAGCAGGGUCAUAAUAAUUAACUAUGUUAUACUUCAUUAUUAACACUCUCUUAAGGCAUUAAAAAAAACUGGCAAUAUUAUGUUUUCCUUAUUUUAAACAAUUAUGUUAAAGGGUUAAUCAACAUUUCCUGUGAAAAGAACAAUGAUGUUUAGCCAAAUGCUUUUUAAAAAGCAGACAACAAGAAAUAGCUUCAAUAAUUCAUAUUAAUUCAAGUCCUAUGGUUAAUGAGGCAAAUGGAGUGCUCUCAGAGGGGAUAAAAGCACAUAGCAGCAGCAUCAAGAAUCUUCAAACCACUGCUGGCAAAGGAUACUGUAAGUCCAAAAUACCCCCUAACCACCUACUAUUCAUACUUUACACUCGGGAUAAACUUAAUAUCAUUCUAGUUUUGCAGAUGGUAAGCUAAAACAGUGCCUAUACAAUUAGAACACAGGCAAGCAACUGCUUAUACUCUUCUUCGUUUUUAUGGUUCUUAGCCAUCAUGAUGCCAUCCAAGUUGUCUGAAGUUUUCACUACAUUAAACAUACACUCAUUUGAUCAGGCACAAAAAAGAGUGAGACUGUGACCAUCUCUGCACAGUCCAGCAAUUAAACUGUUGUAAGGCUAAAAAUAUAUCAGAGUUGAAGAUCAGAUCAUGG